GUUUUUCUAAAAGGUUGUCUUAAGUUGAUUACAUAUAAGCAGAGAUACAUUGCAUACUGCAGUUAGAUACUUAAGAGUUUGGCAGAACAAAAGUGUUCCAGGAUACUAAAUCCCU